CUGCAGCCAAUUAAGCAGACUGUGCUCUUUCCCCGUGGGGCCCAGUGUGCAAUGGCUGCACACAGUAGCCUCCUUGGUAGUGUAUGCAGCCUGUUGAUUGUACGGGUUGCCCUAAGGGACCUUGGAGACAGCU
rnacentral:snoRNA from 1 species